AAUGAAUACAUUUGGCGGAUCUUUUUUUCCCCUACGGCAUAACAACUGAUUCCUAACGUUAACAAUGCGUUUUGUUCCUUUGUUCACAUUUUCUUGCAGAUAUCUUGACCAGAGCAUUACCGGUUAUCUUCACCCAAGAGACCUACUGUUGGACAUUCUUUUUGGAUUUAAAGCACAGGAAAUAAUUGUUGAUGAGGCAUGUGAAGCUGGUGAGAUGUUUUCCUCAAGCACAGAAGAUGAUGAAGAGGAAGAGGAUUGCCUAAGGACACAAUUGGCAGGGUG
ensembl:lncRNA